GCAGUCGUGGCCGAGUGGUUAAGGCGAUGGACUAGAACUCCCCGCACAGGUUCAAUUCACGGCGACUGCA
rnacentral:tRNA from 1 species